AAAUGGGUUCAUUAUUUUUGACCUUUUUUAUUUUUAUAUUUUUUAAUUUCUUUUGUUCGUUUGUUUUCGUUUGUAAUUUUUUUUUAUUUUUUUUAUAGGCAUACAGAAUUGAUUAUAUACAUAAUGUUUAUUUUUAUUUUAUUUUAUUUUUUCUCUCUCUUACCGCAAAUCUAUGAACCUCUAUAUAAGCUCACCUACCCACUACCCACUCUUCAUCUCUCACCCCUCCUUUACAAGAAUUUCUCUCUAAUGUCUAAACCCAUGUCCAAACAUCGCUUUCUUUCUCUCAUCCUCUCUUUCUCAUCUGCCAAACACUAAUAAUACGUCCUUCGCUCACGAUUUUCUUCUCUUCCCAGCUUCCAUAUAAGGAGUUAGUUAGGCUCAUCUUUGUUCGAUUUUGAGCAAAUUAAUUGAUUUUAGCCUUAGGGUUAUGCCUCCUCACUGCUCAGGCGGUGUUGUUGAAGAAAAAAGCCCGCUGAAGCGAGCGGAAUCGGAAAAGAAGUUGCUAAAAAAUUUUGUUGCUGCAAGUUUUGCAUUUUAUCUAAGUCCUAGAUGGAGAGGAUAGAUAUGAAUAAGUUUGAACUCAUUAACAAUAUGUAUUUCUAUUUAACGUAGUUCUAAUAUGAAAUGUUUGAGUUCAUUAACAAUAUCUAUUUCUACAUUUGAUGUAGUUAAGAUAUGAGCAAGUUUGAGUUCAUUAACAAUUUGUAUUUAGUUCUGAGCUUCUUAACUAUAUGAAUUUUUCCGUGUAUGUUUUUCUCUCUCCCCCUUUUAUUGCUUUAUCUUCUCCAUCAUAUUAUUUCUAUGGCAAAUAGGCCAUGGAUUAACAGUUUCCACAUGGGACAAAACUACUCAUCUUUAUAGAUAAAAUAAAUAGGGCCGAAACAAGUGGGCCAAAAAAUCAUGUUCUAUGGUGCAUGCCAUGGGGCGCAAACCCUCUGAAGUUAUUUCCCAUGCGGUCCUGUGUGCGCUGAUGAAAGGCCUUGGUUUGGCCACGUCUAAUUUUAUUUGUAAUAUGUGUGUAGGCUCCACUAUAAUGAUACAAAAAGAAAUUUUCUAUUAACAUCUUCCAUGUGCUAACUUAUAUUGUAAAUUAUUACAUAAAAAUAAAACAAAUAAGAAAUAAAAACUAACCCAAAUAAGAAAUAAAAACUAACCCUAAACAAAACAAAACAAACAAAACAAAAUGUUAGUCUUAAACAAAACAAAACACGAAACCUAAAGAAAAGAGAUCGAAAAAGUGGACGAGCUCUCGUCCAAAGAACUUUAAAGUCAAUCAAGGUUUCCAUAUUAUUGUUGGUGCAAUCCAUCAAUCGAUUAGGUAUUUCUGGGUUUCGAACAGAGAAAGGAAAGUCAAAAUCCAACGGGUUUAUUGGUCGCGGUGUUUGCCGGCUGUGGUUUGCUGCACCGUCAAAUUCCGGCGCCGUAGUUCUGGGUUCUUCUCUGGCCACGAUUUGAGGGUCACCAUUUUGCUUUUGGUGGCAGCCAUCUUUGGCUGAGUUGGGUGUGAUUUGCAGGGUUGGUGUUACCGAAUGUGGUAGGAUGUUGGUUGUUGGAUUUGAGUUGAUGUUGAUUGCACUUAGUUGUACUGUGCAUUGUGUGGCCAAAUUGGUUGUUUAAGGUUUGAAAAAUAGCAGCAGCGCUGUUUAAUUCCAAUACUCCAUCAUUGUUGUUCUCUUUUUCUAGCAUGGCAAUAGCAGUCUUCUCACCUUCAAUCAAUUAGGCAUUUCUGGGUUUCGAAAUGCAUAAAUAGUGGGAAGAAGGUUCAAUUUUGCAACUAGAUUUUCUCAGAAGAACGACAAAACCAGAACAGGUGAGGCCCUUCUACCAUUAUCUAUGUUUAAUUUCAGACUAGAGAUGUAAGGGAGUACCCAAAGGCUUUGCCAAUUGUGCUGCACGUGUGGUCACACAUGCACUACAAUUGAGAUGAUAUAAUUGGUUUUUUCAGAUUCUAAAAUUGUGCAAGAAUUCAAAUUUUCUUUUAAUUUUCACAUUUCCUCCGUAACUAACCUUAACUUAAAAAUAUUGCUGAAACCACACCAAUUCCAAAUACUAAUAGAAAUAGCUAUACUGAUAAAAAUUUAUAAACCCCAACUUCAAAGACUCCUUUUUUCCUUAUGCACUGUAUAAGAUAGUUUCAAAACAACACUAUAUAUGCUUAAGUCACUUUGUUCUGCUGUCCCAUGCUGAAUAACUAAUGUCACAGAUAAAUUUAACUAAAUUCGACAUAACCCUACGUUCACUAUCAAAAACAGGUAUUCAUAUAGUGCCAAUUAACUAAUGUCAAAUACAAAUUUAACUCAAUUCAACAUAUUAUUUGAAAUUAAAUUUUCCAAUAAAAAAUUUAAGGUCUUGUAAAAUUUGAGAUCUUGCAAUUCUGUGGUAGUAUAAAGUACGAUGAUGGAUGUGAUAAACCUGGCAUUAAGCUUGUAAAUAUAUAUUUAAAGGCUUAUUAUCAUCUCUGUUUUAUAAGUUUACUUCUCAUUAUGAACUCAUAAACUAGGAACAUCAAAUGGGAAAGAAAAAGUAUAUGGCCAAGCGCGAUGAAAAAACGAAAAAACAUGCGGGCAAAACCAAACGAGAUGAACCAAAUAAAUUUUUUUUGCCCAAAUGCGGUCUAAAAAAGAAGAUUGAUUUGUCCAAACACAAGGGAAAAAGAAUUGUUUUGGAUAGUGAAAGUAAUUUUGAUGACGCCUUAUACUCUCCUUUUGCUACUUCUCUAUCUGAAUCA